rnacentral:rRNA from 1 species
GUCGUCACCAGCGAGGUUAAGGGCUUCAGGCCCGUCAGCCGAAGUGAAAGCGAGCCUUAACAGGGCGUGAAGUUGGUGGCGCUAGACGCGAAACCUUGUGAUCUACCCACGAGCAGGUUGAAGUCGCGGUAACGCGUGAUGGAGGACCGAACCGGUAAACGUUGAAAAGUUUUCGGAUGACUCGCGGGUAGGGGUGAAAGGCCAAUCAAACUGGGAAAUAGCUCGUACUCUCCGAAAUGCAUUUCGGUGCAGCCUGUGAUGUUCUGUUCCAGAGGUAGAGCUACUGGUUGGACGCGAGGGCUUCACCGCCUAUCAAAUCCGGAUAAACUCCGAAUGCUGGAACACGAAAUCAUGGAGUGAGCCCGCGGGUGCUAAGGUCCGCGGACGAGAGGGAAAGAACCCGGACCACCGGCUAAGGUCCCGGAUGGACAGUUAAGUUGAUCAAACGAGGUGGGAUCGCGGAGACAGCUAGGAUGUUGGCUUGGAAGCAGCCAUUCAUUUAAAGAGUGCGUAACAGCUCACUAGUCGAGCGAUCCCGCGUGGAUAAUACACGGGCAUAAAACUGUCAACCGAAGCCGUGGGGUUAGCUUUAUUGCUAACCGGUAGGAGAGCAUUCCUGCCAGCUUUGAAGGUCACCCGCGAGAGUGACUGGAGCGGCAUGAAAAGCAAAUGUAGGCAUAAGUAACGAUAAUGGGGGCGAGAACCCCCCACGCCGCAAGACCAAGGCUUCCCCGGCAAUGUCAAUCAGCCGGGGGUCAGCCGGCCUCUAAGGCUAACCCGAAGGGGGAUGCCGACGAGAAACGGGUUAACAUUCCCGUGCUUCUCGUCACCGUGACGCGGUGACGGGGUGAUGAAUGGACCGCGCGCAGACGGAAUAGCGCGUUGAAGGCCGUACCCUUCGAGGGUGGUAGUCAAGCACGCCACCCGAGGCGAAAGCCGAUAGUACCUCGAGGCCUCGGCCGAGGGGAUAGCGUCCAGGCAAUUAACCCCCUAGAAAACCCGCUAAACUUCAAGUGACGAGGAACCGUACCGUAAACGGACACACGUGGUCGGGUAGAACAUACCAAGGCGCUCGAGUGAUUCAUGGUCAAGGAACUAGGCAAAAUAGUCCUGUAACUUAGGGAUAAAGGACGCUCUAGUGAUAGAGCCGCAGAGAAAUGGCCCAGGCGACUGUUUACCAAAAACACAUGGCUAUGCCAAAUCGAAAGAUGACGUAUAUGGCCUGACACCUGCCCGGUGCCGGAAGGUUAAGAGGAGAGCUCAUCAGCAAUGAGAAGGUUUGAAUUGAAGCCCCGGUAAACGGCGGCCGUAACUAUAACGGUCCUAAGGUAGCGAAAUUCCUUGUCGGGUAAGUUCCGACCUGCACGAAUGGUGUAACGAUCUGGGCACUGUCUCGACCAUGAGCUCGGUGAAAUUGUAGUUCCGGUGAAGAUGCCGGGUACCCGCGACGGGACGAAAAGACCCCGUGAACCUUUACUGCAGCUUCGCGUUGUUCCCGGGCACGGGACGUGUAGGAUAGGUCGGAGGCUACGAUUCGGUUUCGCCAGGAAUCGAGGAGCCAUCGUUGAAAUACGACCCUUCUCUUGUCUGGGAUCUAACCCUAGGUACAGGGGACACCGCGUGGUGGGUAGUUUGACUGGGGUGGUCGCCUCCAAAAGCGUAACGGAGGCUUCCAAAGGUACCCUCGGGUUGGUUGGUAAUCAACCUCAGAGUGCAAUGGCACAAGGGUGCUUGACCGGGAGACCAACGAGUCGAUCGGGUGCGAAAGCAGGGCAUAGUGAUCCGGUGAUCCCGCGUGGAAGGGUCAUCGCUCAAAGGAUAAAAGGUACUCCGGGGAUAACA